rnacentral:rRNA from 1 species
ACGUAGGACCCGAGCGUUGUCCGGAUUUACUGGGUGUAAAGGGAGCGCAGGCGGAUUUUCAAGUCGAUGGUGAAAUCUUGCGGCUCAGCCGCAAAACAGCCGUCGAUACUGUUAAUCUUGAGUGUGGAAGAGAGUGGCGGAAUUCAUGGUGUAGCAGUGAAAUGCGUAGAUAUCAUGAAGAACACCGGUUGCGAAGGCGGCCACUUAGUCCAUUACUGACGCUCAUGCUCGAAAGCGUGGGGAUCAAACAGGA